GUACUCUCUUCGGCAGCACAUACACUAAAAUUGGAACAAUACAGAGAUUAGCAUGGCCACUAUGCAAGGAUGACACACAAAUUCAUGAAGUGUUCCACAUUUAA
rnacentral:snRNA from 1 species